GUCAACAUAGUUUAACAAAAACAUUAGGAUGUGGAUCUAAAAACAGAAGCUAGAACCUUCUUGUUGAC
rnacentral:tRNA from 1 species